CCUGAGCAUGCCAUUAUACGGCAGCCUAACACCGGGAGCUGAUGUCAGGGAGGAUCUGCCUGCUACUGCUUAGUGUGGGGAUGGAUGCAGAUGUGGAACGGCUAUGCUGUUAGUAAUUGCACUGGUUAUUCUGCGGAGUUGACUCUAAUGGGAGCCCCAGUAUUAACAAGGGACCACUGUAAUGAAGUAAAGCACAUUGCUGCAGAGAACACUCAGGUUCUACAGAUAUGUGGGAGCCUGCGAUCUUGUUUUAUCUGUUACCAUGACAAUCUCCCCAUCCCGCGGCGCACCGUGACGUCAUAGCCCGGCGACGCGGAAGCGAACAGCGUGUGCAGGCGGGCGGCAGCGCCGUGAGGACAGAUACUGGGACCUUGCUUUGACCGCAUUAACCAAUAUACGAGUGGAAGAGAGAGACUAAUCUACAUAGAUGUCCCCAUCACCUACAGUAGUCAUGCAAACUGGAUUAAACAAAAAGAUGUUAACCCAGGAAAAUUAUAACAAGGCAUGUAAGAUGUUCCCUAAUUCAAACCAUUCAAGCAUUGCAUCAAGGAAAUGAGAUUAAAGAAAUCAGAUGAUGUAAUCUAUCAUAGAGUUAGUUAAUUUAAUGUAUGAUUGGUAUUUAAAAGACAAAUUGUAUUCUGAGUGAGUGCUGUCAGCAUAUUCUCUUAUUCUGAAUCUACAACAGGUAAUAUACAAGUAUUUCUGUAUGCAUACUAUAGAUAACUGUAAAGUUUCAUGUAUUUCUAAUAAACUGGGUGCAAAAUGCGAAUCACCCAAGAAGGCUUUAAAAGGAAGAGGGAAUGACGUUUAAGGCACCAAAAGUUUAGUAAAAUAAAAAAAAGGGUGAAAUUAGCCAAAUGAAAUCUGAUUUAAAAUUUAGGAUAUUAUUGUCACAACAUACAGAUAUGUCCUUUUAUUUACUGUUGCUUCUCUCGAUGCAUCUUGUUCGCAUAAUUAAAACACAUAUUAAUGGCAUGACUACAUUGCUAGCAUAUACUUUAUUGAUAGGGUGUACAACAUAUGUACAUCUGUGUGCUGCUGCGUUUGAGUUUGUGUACAAAGAGCUCUGCAGUCGCAGCUUUUACUCACGCCAAGUUCCGCUGUGAUUCACCUGCGAUUUUGUACGUGUGUAAAACUAAUUCCUGUGUGGUUAAAGUCACAGCCCAGCUUCUAUAGUGCACUGUGAGCUGCUUUUCACUGCAUCUGCAAAGUGGUGUCUAACGCCAUAUGGCGCAUGGACACCCAAGUGGUGAGGACACAUCUGUUUGUUAGUAUUGGGCUGCUUAUAUUUUGACUAGUUACCAUCCAAAAUGAUGGAUCAACAUAACAGUAAUGUCAGCACCGGCGGCUGUGCAC